GCCCCCAUGCCUUAUUCUCCUUCGCAAAUGCCAAUGCCUCAUUUAAAACUUCACUAGCCAAACCAUCCUUGGAAGACCCAAAAUAACUCUUCAAAUCAGUGACCCGAAUUUUUAACAAAUCCCUCNNNNNNNNNNUUCCAUGCUCAUUGAGUUCCAAUAUGACCGCACCCAAUCCCUCCUCUGCUUGUUAGUACCGUUCUUCCUCACAUUAAUCCCAUACUUCCUCCUAUCCCCUCUC
rnacentral:misc_RNA from 1 species